GCCGGUGUAGCUCAGUGGAUAGAGCGUCGGCCUGUGGACUGAAGAGUCCCGGGUUCGAUUCCGGUCAAGGGCA
rnacentral:tRNA from 1 species